GUAGGUGGCAAGCGUUGUCCGGAAUUAUUGGGCGUAAAGCGCGCGCAGGCGGUUCUUUAAGUCUGAUGUGAAAGCCCACGGCUCAACCGUGGAGGGUCAUUGGAAACUGGAGAACUUGAGUACAGAAGAGGAAAGCGGAAUUCCACGUGUAGCGGUGAAAUGCGUAGAGAUGUGGAGGAACACCAGAGGCGAAGGCGGCUUUCUGGUCUGUAACUGACGCUGAGGCGCGAAAGCGUGGGGAGCAAACAGGGAUUAGAUACCCUGGUAGUCCACGCCGUAAACGAUGAGUGCUAAGUGUUAGGGGGUUUCCGCCCCCUUAGUGCUGCAGCUAACGCAUUAAGCACUCCGCCUGGGGAUACGGCCGCAAGGCUG
rnacentral:rRNA from 1 species